rnacentral:sRNA from 1 species
UGGAUUAUAAUCGAGGGCAGGGACACAACCGCGAAGAGGAGAGUAGCUCGUACUGUAUCUGAAUCUGUUUUCGGAUCUUUCGAGUCUCUGGUUCAUAUUGACCUUAAGAAGAAAGGAAACGAGUCAAAGGCCAGCCCGGCAACGCUACUUGCUUAUGAAUUGAAGAACCCUGAGAAGGUUGUGUUCUUGAUUGAAGACAUUGAUUUGGCAGAUUCCCGCUUCUUGAAACUCCUUGCUGAUCGGUUUGAGGACAAACGGAGGAUUAAAACCGGUAUCGAUCAUCGCCAAGCCAUCUUUAUUUUGACAAAGGAGGAUUCAAGGAAUGUGAGAAACAGAGACUCUGUUUUGCAAAUUGGUUUGGAGAUCACGGCACAGAGUCCAGGGAAAAAGAGAAAACCCGAAUCGGAUUUAUCGAUCGAGAAUGGGUUUUGGAUGAAGAAGGAAGUGUGCUCUAGGCAAUCGAGUUUCAAUAGCUCUUACCUCGACCUGAACAUAAAAGCUGAAGACGAAGAAGUAGAAGGUGAGAUCAGUCCAAUUUCAAGCGAUUUAACAGGAGAGGAGGAGACAGAGUUC